GCGACCGUAGUUCAAAUGGACAGAAUACGGCACUCCUAAUGCCCUGGUGCAGAUUCGAGUUCUGCCGGUCGCA
rnacentral:tRNA from 1 species